UCUUAUCAAGUAUAUUGUGAACAGAAGACUAAACAAAAUCAAACAUACACGCGCUAUCCUUUAAAUCAGAAUAAAAUCUUUUAUGCAUGUAAUUAAAAGGAUCAAAUGUUUGUUUGUUUACAUGACUCGCAUGACGUUAGGCAUCGAUUGUUUACUUCUUGUCAAUGUGCCUUUGAGUGGAUUAUAUCUUUACCGCAACGUUGCCUUUGAAAGUAAACACAACAAACAAAUGCUUAAUUUUAAGA